AUACGGAGGGUGCAAGCGUUGUUCGGAUUUAUUGGGCGUAAAGCGAGUGUAGGCGGCUUGGCAAGUCGGAUGUGAAAUCCCAGGGCCCAACCCUGGAACUGCAUCCGAUACUGCCAGGCUAGAGUCCCGGAGAGGGUGGCGGAAUUCCCGGUGUAGGGGUGAAAUCCGUAGAUAUCGGGAGGAACACCAGUGGCGAAGGCGGCCACCUGGACGGUGACUGACGCUGAGACUCGAAAGCGUGGGUAGCAAACAGGAUUAGAAACCCUAGUAGUCC
rnacentral:rRNA from 1 species